rnacentral:rRNA from 1 species
UACGUAGGGUGCAGGCGUUAAUCGGAAUUACUGGGCGUAAAGCGUGCGCAGGCGGUUUGCUAAGACAGGUGUGAAAUCCCCGGGCUUAACCUGGGAACUGCGCUUGUAACUAGCAGGCUAGAGUGUGGCAGAGGGGGGGUGGAAUUCCACGUGUAGCAGUGAAAUGCGUAGAGAUGUGGAGGAACACCGAUGGCGAAGGCAGCCCCCUGGGCUAACACUGACGCUCAUGCACGAAAGCGUGGGGAGCAAACAGG